rnacentral:lncRNA from 1 species
UUUAUUCAUGAGAGACAGAGAGAGAGGCAGGGACACAGGCAGAGGGAGAAGCAGGUUCCCUGCAGGGAACCUGACGCAGUACCAGAUCCCAGGACCCUGGGAUCACGACCCAAGCCAAAGGCAGAUGCUCAACCAUUGAGCCACCCAGGCAUCCCAAUUCAGUAUAAUUCUUAAAGGCCCUAGAACUUUUGAAAUGGUAAGUGAGCAUUGGCUUCAAUUUAAAGCUAUCAGCUACAUCAGCCCCCAACAAAAGCCAGUUCUUUGAAGCUUUGAAGCCAGGCAUUGACUUCUCCUCUUUGACUAGUAAAUCCUAGAUAACAUCUUCUUCCAAUAUAAGGUUGUUUCAUCUACAUCAAUAAUCUGUUGUUUAUUCUAGCCACCUUCAUUCACUCUCUUAGCUGGAUCUUCUAGGUAACUAGCUACAGUUUCUAUAUCAGCACUUGCUGCUUCACCUUGAACUUUUUAUUAUACAAACAGCUUAUUUAUUUCUUUAAGAUUUUUAUUUAUUUGAGACAGAGAGAGUGAAAGACAGCACAAGCAAGGUGAAGGGCAGUGGGAGAAGCAGACUCCUGACUGAGCAGGGAGCCUGAUGUGGGGCUCCAUCCAAGGACCCUGGGAUCAUGACCCAAGUUGAAGGCAGAUGCUUAACUGAGCGCUACCCAGGGUCCCUAAAAACUGCUUCUUUCUUUAAACUUCACGAAUCAACCUCUACUACCUUCAAAUUUUUCUUCUGUGGCUUCUUCACCUCUCUCAGGCUUCACAGAAUUGACAAGAGUCAGGGCCACACUCUGGAUUAGGCUUUGGUUUAAGGGAAUGUUGUGGUCGGUUUGAUCUUCUGUCCAGACCACUCACACUUUCUCCAUACCAGCAAUAAGGCUAUUUUGCUUUCUUGUCAGUUGUGUGUUCACUGGAGUAACAUUUUAAUUCCCUUCAAGAACUUUUUCUUUGCAAAAAAAAAACAAAAAAAACAAAAAACUUUUUCUUUGCAUUCACAACUUGACUGGUGAAAGAGGCCUAACUUUUGGCCUAUUGACUUUCCACACACAGUCCUUACUAAGCUUAAUCAUUCCUAGCUUUUGAUUUAAAGUGAGAGAUACGUGACUCUUCUUUCUCUUGAAUGCUUCAAAGCCAUUAUAGGGUUGUUAAUAGACCUAAUUUCAUUAUUGUUGUGUCUCAGGGAAUAAGGAGGCCUGAGGGGAGGGAGAGAAACUGGGGAAUGGCUGGUAGGUAGAACAGUCAGGACACACCAACAUUUUUGGUUAAGUUUGCCAUCCUAUGUAUAUGGGCAUGGUUCAUGGUGCCUGGAGCAAUUAUAAUAGUGACAUCAAAGAUAAUUGAUCACAAAUCAUCCAUAGCAAAUUUAAUAAUAAUGAAAAAGUUUGAAAUAUUGUGAAUAUUAACAAAAUGUGACACAGAGACACAAAGUGAGCAAGUGUUGUUGGAAAAAUGGCACCAAUAGACUUGCUCAGGGUUGCCACAAACCUUCAACUGAUGAAAAACAAUAUUUGCAAAGCUCAGUAAAGUGAAGCUCAAUAAAAGGAGGUAUGCCUGUAUAUGGGAAAAUUCUACUUUCCACUCAAUUUUUCUGAAAACCUAAAACUGCCCGCCAAAUUACAGUGUAUUAACUAAAGAUAAAAAGCAAAUGGGGGGAUCCCUGGGUGGCGCAGCGGUUUGGCGCCUGCCUUUGGCCCAGGGCGCGAUCCUGGAGACCCGGGAUCAAAUCCCACGUCGGGCUCCCGGUGCAUGGAGCCUGCUUCUCCCUCUGCCUGUGUCUCUGCCUCUCUCUCUCUCUCUGUGACUAUCAUAAAUAAAUAAAAAUUAAAAAAAAAAAAAAAAAGCAAAUGGGUGGAAGAGGAGGUUGCCGCAUGGUAGGUACAUUCUUGGGGAAAUCUUGAAUCAUCCAACACAAAUCAGGCUAAAACAUGCUUUUGGUUCUUCAUUUACUUUGCAUAAAGGUGCAUUGUUUAUUUUGCAAGGGCAUAAAAGAACAAAAUGAGAGCA